UACAGAGGUCUCAACCGUUGUUCGGAUUCAUUGGGCGUAAAGGGUGCGUAGGCGGUCGUGUAAGUCGGAUGUGAAAUCUCAGGGCUCAACCCUGAAACUGCAUUCGAUACUGCAUGGCUAGGGUACUGGAGAGGAGACUGGAAUUUACGGUGUAGCAGUGAAAUGCGUAGAUAUCGUAAGGAAGACCAGUGGCGAAGGCGAGCCUCUGGACAGUUACCGACGCUGAGGCACGAAGGUCAGGGGAGCAAACGGG
rnacentral:rRNA from 1 species